rnacentral:ncRNA from 1 species
AUAAAUGCGAUGAAGAGAAGAGUAAAUAAAUGUGUUCUUCUAACAGAGAGCUCCGGCAGAUGAGAAGGAGCAAGGACGCUUUUAUUGAAGCAAGCCUCUGAGCAUCACAUCGGAACUGACCUAAGCUGAAGGGAUGGUGUGACAGGAGCUCCUGUUAUCGGGCAGAAGUAAGCAUUGGCGACAAUGGCUUACUUGAUGAGGUUAAUAUGGCGACAUGUUAACGAUUCUGGGGUGGUACCGCGAGGGUAAGGCUCGCCUCCAAG